rnacentral:rRNA from 1 species
UACGUAGGGGGCUAGCGUUGUCCGGAAUCAUUGGGCGUAAAGCGCGCGUAGGCGGCCCGGUAAGUCCGCUCUGAAAGUCCAGGGCUCAACCCUGGAAAGCGGGUGGAUACUGCCGGGCUAGAGUCCGGAAGAGGCGAGUGGAAUUCCUGGUGUAGCGGUGGAAUGCGCAGAUAUCAGGAGGAACACCAAUGGCGAAGGCAGCUCGCUGGGACGUUACUGACGCUGAGACGCGAAAGCGUGGGGAGCAAACAGG